CAAGUAUUCCCUCCGUCCGGAAAUAAGUGACUCGGAUUUGUUUAGAUUAGUAUGUAUCUAGACGCGUUAUUUGUCUAGAUUCGCAUGUAUCUAUACACUAAAACGCGUCUAGAUACAUACUAAUCUAAACAAAUCCGAGUCACUUAUUUUCAGACAGAGGGCACAAAGU
rnacentral:pre_miRNA from 1 species